rnacentral:rRNA from 1 species
AUGGAGGUGGUGAGCGCGAUCGUCAAGGUGGUGCAGGCGAUAGUGAAGGCGGCGGAGACGGCCCGGGAGAACAGUGAGAGGUGCCUUGACCUCGCCAACCGCGCGCGCAUCAUCGGCAACAUCCUCCUCCUCGACUCCUCCACGGCCAGCACGAGCAGCAGCGCCAACGGCUACACAGCGAGGCUGAGAACGCCCCCGCUGGAGAUGCUGAAGGACGUGCUCCAAGAAGCCCUUGAGCUUGUCGAGUCCCAGCAGCCGGGCGGCUUCGGCGCGGAGCUCAUGAAGCUGCUGACAAGCGGCCCGACGGCCGCCAGGUUCAAGGAGGUCAAGGACAGGAUCGCCGACUGGGUCAACAUCGUCUGCUUGGCGGAGCAGUCCGCUGCUCGGGCCCGCCACGCCAACGCAGGGACCGGCUCGGCAACCACCUCCCUUGCCCCGGAGCAUCACCACCAGAGCUUGCAGUUUGCGACGACGUCGUCGCAACAACACCUGAAUUUCCAGUCCGCGACGUCACUGUCGCAGCACCUGGAGAGCUUCCCGUCCUUGCUGGGGUCGUCACAGCAGAAGCAGAGCUCGCAGUCUGCGACGUCGCUGUUGCAGGAGCACCAAAGCUUGCCGCAACGCCCGAGCUUACGGCUGCCAUCGUUGCAGCAGAAGCAGAGCUUGAAGUCAACGACGUCGCUGUUGCAGGAGCACCAAAGCUUGCCGCAACGCCCGAGCUUACGGCUGCCAUCGUUGCAGCAGAAGCAGAGCUUGAAAUCUGCGACGUCGCAGUUGCAGGAACACCAAAGCUUGCCGCAACGCCCGAGCUUACGGCUGCCAUCGUUGCAGCAGAAGCAGAGCUUGAAGUCUGCGACAUCGCUGUUGCAGGAGCACCAAAGCUUGCCGCAACGCCCGAGCUUACAUCUGGCAUCGUUGCAGCAGAAGCAGAGCUUCCAGUCCGAGGAAUCGCCGUCCCAGCAGCAACGGAGCUCGCAGUCCACGAUGCCACCAUUACAGCAGCAGCAGAGCUUGCGGCAACGCCCGAGCUUACGGCUGGCACCAUCGCAACAGAACCAGAGCUUUCAGCCCAGGGAGUUGUCGUCCCAGCAGCAACGGAGCUCACCGUCCACAACACCGCCGUUACAGGAGCACCAGAACUUGCUGCAAUGCCCGAGCAUACGGCUGUCACCAUCGCAGCAGUAUCAGCAUCAAAGGCUCCAGUCGGGGGAGUCAACCGUCGCAGCAGCAAUAGAACUCGCAGUCCGCAGUACGAUCGCCGCAGUAGCGCCGGAGUUUGUGGCGGCAACACCCGGACUCUCAGCCUGCAAGCUUGCAUCAGCAGCAGACCUCGCAGCCCGCAGCCCCGCACUACCACCGUCACAACAACAUCAACACUUGAUCCCUCGCCAUGGCGGAACGCGGAUUUUCGCUGUUGCCGUUGCGACGACGGUGGAAGUAACGGCGACGGUUCGUAACGUUGUGAUCUUGUGUGGAGCCAUGUGGGGUCCACCUAUCAUUAAAAAAACACUUUUUCCUCGCCUUAUCUUCACCACCAAAGCAGGCCGGGGCAGAGGCCCGCCGCCCGUUCUGCCCUCGGCUGGGGCAGAGGCCGCCGUAGCCGUUGCCACGUGGAGCCCGUCCUGUCCCCGGCAGAGGCAGGGGCCGCCAUCGCCGUGCCGCCCGGAGGUCGAGCCCGCCUCUCCUCUACUCCUUCAUCUCUCCCCCAGAUCCCCAAUGGUCGCGCCCGCCGCCUCAGAUCCUCCUCCAGGAAGCUCCGUGGUUUCUUGUUUGGCCGCUCGCUCGGCAAGGCGUAGCCGGAGGCCCACGACGAGAUGGAGGCAGCCGCCGGUUGCUGUGAUGGCCGCGCCACCCAAGCGGAGGCAUAGUCCGAUCCGCGUGGCGGGGCUAGCCCCCAUGCCGCCACAACCAAUGCUGGGCACGUUAGAGGAGGAGCAGGAGGACGCCAUGCUCUGCCUCCUGAUGCUCUCGAGCGAGAUGGAGGAGCUCGCCGGUGCCGAAGCAGGUGGACCCCACAUGGCUCCUAUCAAGAUCACAAUGUUACGAACCGUCGCCGUUACCUGCGAGCUUAUGAAGCUUCCUAACCAGUCGCGUAGGAUUGCACCACACGCACCUGCACUUGAGUCCACGUGGUAUGAAGCAUCGACUUUCAAUUUAACACAUCCCGUUGCCGACCUUGACAAACAAGUCUCCCGCUAG